AUGGCCAAGCCUCAGGGCGGCGCCGUCAGCACCCCGCGCCCCCGCUCCUCCUCCGGCGCCAAGGCCGCCGCCGCCGCCACCACCCCGGCCAACCGCAGCUCCGUGGGCUCCUCCUCGUCCGCGCCCCCCGCCCCCCUCGCCAAGGAGGCAGGCAAGCUCCUCACCUACGACGACGACGACGCCGCCUCCGCCGCGCAGCAGCAGCCCGACCCCGCGCUGCCCGAGGGCCUCGCCGUCGCCGACCUCGCGCCGCCGCUCGACCUCCCCGACCCCGCGCUGCCCGAGGGCCUCGCCGUCGCCGACCUCGCGCCGCCGCUCGACCUCCCCGACCCCGACGACGCCGCCUCCUCCUCCUCCACCGUCGUCCCCGCCCCUCCCCGCGACGCGGUCCCCGCCCCCGACCGCUCCGCCCUCGCCCAGGUCGCACGUCCCGCCGACGCCAACGACACUGACGCCGACGCCGAGGGCUACACCGUCCUCAGGGAGCUGGAGGUGGUCCUGGCCGAGCUGCGCGGGGCCAGCGGUCUGAGCGCGCGCUCGAGGCGCCUCCUGGCCGCGCUCGCCGAGGCCGCGGCGGACGAGCUCGACGUUCUCCGCACCCGCCGCGCGGCCUUCUGGAGGAAGCUGCGCGUCGGGGUCCUCGCCGCGACGGUCUUCUCCGUGGCCGCCAUGGACGCCGUCCUCCUCGCCGCGCUGCUGGGCGGCCGCCGCGGCAGCGGCAGCCACGCGCUGCCCCCCACCUGA
rnacentral:rRNA from 1 species